CCUACGGGAGGCAGCAGUGAGGAAUUUUGCGCAAUAGGGGAAACCCUGACGCAGCAACGCCGCGUGAGUGAAGAAGGCCCUCGGGUCGUAAAGCUCUGUCAAGUGGGAAAAAAGCUUACUGGUAAAUAGCCAGGAAGACUGAUGGUACCAUUGAAGGAAGCACCGGCUAACUCCGUGCCAGCAGCCGCGGUAAUACGGAGGGUGCAAGCGUUGUUCGGAAUUACUGGGCGUAAAGGGCGUGUAGGCGGUGUGGUAAGUCAGAUGUGAAAGCCCUGGGCUUAACCCAGGAAGUGCAUUUGAAACUGCCAUGCUUGAGUAUGGGAGAGGAGAGUGGAAUUCCCAGUGUAGAGGUGAAAUUCGUAGAUAUUGGGAGGAACACCCGUGGCGAAGGCGACUCUCUGGGCCAAUACUGACGCUGAGGCGCGAAAGCGUGGGGAGCAAACAGGAUUAGAUACCCUGGUAGUCCACGCUGUAAACGAUGAGCACUAGGUGUAGCGGGUAUUGACCCCUGCUGUGCCGUAGCUAACGCAUUAAGUGCUCCGCCUGGGGAGUACGGCCGCAAGGCUAAAACUCAAAGGAAUUGACGG
rnacentral:rRNA from 1 species